GACGAACGCUGGCGGCGUGCCUAAUACAUGCAAGUAGAACGCACAGUUUAUACCGUAGCUUGCUACACCAUAAACUGUGAGUUGCGAACGGGUGAGUAACGCGUAGGUAACCUGCCUGGUAGCGGGGGAUAACUAUUGGAAACGAUAGCUAAUACCGCAUAAUAUUGAUUAUUGCAUGAUAAUUGAUUGAAAGCUGCUAUUGCAUCACUACCAGAUGGACCUGCGUUGUAUUAGCUAGUAGGUGAGGUAACGGCUCACCUAGGCGACGAUACAUAGCCGACCUGAGAGGGUGGACGGCCACACUGGGACUGGGACACGGCCCAGACGCCUACGGGAAGCAGCAGGAGGGAAACUUCGGCAAUGGACGGAAGGCUGACCGAACAACGCCGCGGGAGGGAAGAAGGUUGUCGGAUCGUAAAGCUCGGUUGUAAGGGAAGAACGGGUGUGAGAGUGGAAAGUUCACACUGUGACGGUAUCUUACCAGAAAGGGACGGCUAACUACGUG
rnacentral:rRNA from 1 species